GCAUCGGUGGUUAAGUGGUAGAAUGCUCGCCUGCCACGCGGGCGGCCAGGGUUCGAUUCCCGGCCGAUGCA
rnacentral:tRNA from 1 species